GAUGAACGCUGGCGGCGUGCCUAAUACAUGCAAGUCGAGCGAACAGACGAGGAGCUUGCUCCUCUGACGUUAGCGGCGGACGGGUGAGUAACACGUGGAUAACCUACCUAUAAGACUGGGAUAACUUCGGGAAACCGGAGCUAAUACCGGAUAAUAUAUUGAACCGCAUGGUUCAAUAGUGAAAGACGGUUUUGCUGUCACUUAUAGAUGGAUCCGCGCCGCAUUAGCUAGUUGGUAAGGUAACGGCUCACCAAGGCAACGAUGCGUAGCCGACCUGAGAGGGUGAUCGGCCACACUGGAACUGAGACACGGUCCAGACUCCUACGGGAGGCAGCAGUAGGGAAUCUUCCGCAAUGGGCGAAAGCCUGACGGAGCAACGCCGCGUGAAUGAUGAAGGUCUUCGGAUCGUAAAACUCUGUUAUUAGGGAAGAACAAAUGUGUAAGUAACUAUGCACGUCUUGACGGUACCUAAUCAGAAAGCCACGGCUAACUACGUG
rnacentral:rRNA from 1 species